AAAAAUGCGCGGAUUGGAAAGAGUACAAGGUAAUAACCAAAAGAGAGGGAAAUCACAGGCUGAAAAUUUCCUUGGCAAUAUUACCAUGGAAGGUCGUCCAUGAUGCAGCUUCUUUGAACAUACGCUAUGAAAAUAUAGUGCAUUACUAGAAGAAGCCGGUAAUGGAGUUUAUUACCGUUAUCAUUCAACGAAGUUGUGCAUUGCUCAAGCCGAGCUUGCAAACAAAGGUGGUACCACGGAAAGUAUACCCUUUUCGUCCUUUAU
rnacentral:ncRNA from 1 species